rnacentral:rRNA from 1 species
UACAGAGGAGCCAAGCGUUGUCCGGAUUGACUGGGCGUAAAGCGCACGCAGGCGGACGCGCGCGUGGGGUGUGAAAUCUGGCCGCUUAACGGCCAGGCGCCAUCCCAUACGGCGCGUCUGGAGCAAUGCAGAGGUCGGUGGAAUUGCCGGUGUAGUGGUGAAAUGCGUAGAGAUCGGCAGGAACACCCAGGGGGAAACCAGCCGACUGG